rnacentral:rRNA from 1 species
AACGAACGCUGGCGGCAGGCUUAACACAUGCAAGUCGAACGCAUCCUUCGGGGUGAGUGGCAGACGGGUGAGUAACGCGUGGGAACGUGCCCUUCAGUUCGGGAUAACCCAGGGAAACUUGGGCUAAUACCGGAUACGUGCGAGAGCAGAAAGAUUUAUCGCUGAAGGAUCGGCCCGCGUCUGAUUAGCUAGUUGGUGGGGUAAUGGCCCACCAAGGCGAAGAUCAGUAGCUGGUCUGAGAGGAUGAUCAGACACACUGGGACUGAGACACGGCCCAGACUCCUACGGGAGGCAGCAGUGGGGAAUAUGGGACAAUGGGGGCAACCCUGACCCCGCCAUGCCGCGUGAGUGAUGAAGGCCUUAGGGUUGUAAAGCUCUUUUACCCGGGACGAUAAUGACUGUACCGGGAGAAUAAGCCCCGGCUAACUUCGUGCCAGCCGCCGCCGUAA